rnacentral:rRNA from 1 species
AAUCAACGCUGGCGGCGUGCCUCAGACAUGCAAGUCGAACGAUUAAAGCUCCCUUCGGGGAGUGCAUAGAGUGGCGCACGGGUGAGUAACACGUAAGUAAUCUACCCUCGGGUGGGGAAUAACGUCCGGAAACGGACGCUAAUACCGCAUAAUGCAGCGGCACCGCAAGGUGACAGUUGUUAAAGGAGCAAUCCGCCUGGGGAGGAGCUUGCGGCAGAUUAGCUUGUUGGAAGGUAACGGCUUACCAAGGCUACGAUCUGUAUCCGGUCUAAGAGGACGGUCGGACACACUGACACUGAAUAACGGGUCAGACUCCUACGGGAGGCAGCAGUCGGGAAUUUUGGGCAAUGGGGGAAACCCGUGACCCAGCAACGCCGCGUGAAGGAUGAAGUAUUUCGGUAUGUAAACUUCGAAAGAAUAGGAAGAAUUAAUGCGUACUAUUUAUAAGGUCCGGCUAACUACGUGCCAGCAGCCGCCGCGGUAAC